rnacentral:rRNA from 1 species
CCUACGGGUGGCAGCAGUGAGGAAUAUUGGUCAAUGGACGGAAGCCUGAACCAGCCAUGCCGCGUGCGGGAAGACGGUACUGUGUAUUGUAAACCUCUUUUGUACGAGGGUAAAGGCAGGGACUCGUAUCUGGCUGAGAGUAUCGUACGAAUAAGCAUCGGCUAACUCCGUGCCAGCAGCCGCGGUAAUACGGAGGAUGCAAGCGUUAUCCGGAUUUAUUGGGUUUAAAGGGUGCGUAGGCGGUCUGAUAAGUUAGAGGUGAAAUCCCGAGGCUCAACUCCGGGAUGGCCUUUGAUACUGUCCGGCUAGAGAGGAGUUGCGGUACGCGGAAUGUAUGGUGUAGCGGUGAAAUGCUUAGAGAUCAUACAGAACCCCGAUUGCGAAGGCAGCUUACCAAGCUACCUCUGACGUUGAGGCACGAAAGCGUGGGGAGCAAACAGGAUUAGAUACCCUUGUAGUC